AUAUCCUUUAAUUUGGUCCAGAGAGACUAAAAAGGGCGGCUACGAUAAGUGCUUUAUAGUUUGUUUAUUAUGCAUAUUAUGCCCUUUUGUCUUUAUGGCAAAAGGGCAUUUUUAU
rfam:Bacillus ginsengihumi strain M2.11 NODE_23, whole genome shotgun sequence.